rnacentral:rRNA from 1 species
CGCGUAGGCUGAAGUACAAGUCAGACGUGAAAGCCCGGGGCUCAACCCCGGAAUUGCAUCUGAAACUGUAUUUCUCGAGGGUAAUCGGAGAAGACGGAAUUCCACGUGUAGCGGUGAAAUGCGUAGAUAUGUGGAAGAACACCCGUGGCGAAGGCGGUCUUCUAGGUUACUCCUGACGCUGAGGCGCGAAAGCAAGGGGAGCGAACA